GGCACAUUGGCUCUUCUAUCUCUAAUAUUGAUAGUGGAAUUAGAUUUAGACGCUGAGCCUUCAGAAACCGAAGCUCUUCUGUAUGAAUUUAGUCUUCCCCUAAUGGCUGAUCUUUUUGACAACUUCCAAGAUAAGACUGAUCUGGUGGAAGAAUUUUCUUUUACAAGCUAAAGAAAUGGGAUUUUAUGGCAGUAAAGGUGGUCAAAGAACCAUUAUCUUCAAUCCAAGAGUUUGCGACAAUGUUGACCUUGAAGUGGGGAGCUUAAUCCGCAUUCACCCUCCAUGGUGCAUUGAUAGGUCCAAUUGCAUUUGCCAUUUUGGCUGUUGGAAAUUCAGCUGUUAUCAUUGGACUUUGGACUGCACAUGUUAUAUGGACAUACUAUUGUGUGGCAAGGUUGUAGUUUAUGUUCUAAUUCAAUCUCAAUCUUCAAUCGUUGGCCUUUGACAACAGAACAAAGAGCUUUUUUGCUCCUCUUCUUGCAACUUUUGAGGCUGUUGAAGAAAAUGUUGAAGACAAAUUUUAUCAUUGCUUCAUUGAUGGUUGUUGGUCAGCAAUUGAAACAAGCUGCACAGUGGUUCAAGAUGUCACAGACUUUUGCUUUUACUCCUAUUUUUCAUACAUGGAUAAACUAAGAAAAAAUUUAAUCCCUCAAGAAAAGCCAUUUGAUAUCAGUAUCCGCAUGAAAAAGAAAAAAAAGAAGGAAAAACAGCGCAGUUUUUUCAGAAGAAUAGUAGGUCCCACUUGCCAGAGACAGUUGUUAACAGUGAAGACUCCCCUGAACCUGUGGAUAGCGGAUCAUCAAGUGACAAUGAGACAUGGACCCAAAUGUUUGAUGUACAAAGAAAAAUAAUUUCAGGUGAGUUUGGCUGUGUUGAUGUAAAUAUCAUUUCAAGAUACCUGGACGGAAAGCUGAUUGUUUGUCAUUGCUCAUUUAGCAAGUAUACCGAGGUGAAGUUUUAAAAAUCAACCGAUUCAAUUUCCAUAGGUCAUUUGAUUAUUUGAUAUGCUUGUUAUUGCCCUGAAACUAUAUAUAGGCUUGGAGAAUGGAGACUUGUGAUGGUCUCUCACUCUUGUAAACUCUAGUAUUUUCUGUUAUUCCAUUUGAUUUAGGGAA